UUCGUUCCACGCGGAUUGCGAUGAAACGUGGUGGUGGUGAAUCGAAGGUUCGCUGUUUGCCAGUCAGUUAUUUAGUUUCCGACCACGUUGUUUUGAAACAGCCGGAAUCCAAGUCUUUCCUUUGCAAUCGCCUUGUGAGUUGAAGUAAUAGUUCGUCCAAUCAUUUUUUUCCGGAAAUGUAAUUUUCGUGAACUCAGUAUUGUAUAGGUAUAUGAAGUUACUUCCAUUUUGUGAUUAGUUUGAUAAGGUUGUUUGUUAAACUGAUGUGAACUGUAUUUAAAAAGUGUGGACAUACUUAAAAAACUUCCAUCUUCCUAUGUAAUUCCACUUUGACAAAAUACCAUUAAGGUAAAUUUGACGAAACGACUGGUGUCCAUGUGGAAAGAAGGAGAAGAAGCUGCUUAUAAAGUUAGAUCGUCGUAAAAAACCGAUAAUUGCCAUCUACACAACAAAUAGAGGCACAAUCAUAACAAACACACAACGUUGUGUUCUCUCCUUUCGUCUGCCAUAAUCGCAGUUCAAACAACAGCUGAAGCAGCCGAGGAAGGAGCCUUGCGCGAACGCGAGUGAGAUUUCGUUAAUUCAUUGGCCAAACACUCCAUUCUUCGACGAGACAAACAGCAUCUAUUAUAGUCGGGUCAGUCAGUGUAACGUAACAUUUGAUAAACUGUGCUUUGAGCUUUCACACUUACUCUCUUUUUUUUUUCCUCACGGGUUCUUUGUGCUACGACAUGUUUCUUCCAAUUAGUAAUUUUGUGUCUGAUAA